UGUUAAACGGCCGCGGUAUUUUGACCGUGCAAAGGUAGCAUAAUCAUUUGCCUUUUAAAUGGAGGCUAGUAUGAAUGGCAAGACGGAAGUUUAGCUGUCUCUCUUUUAGGUUCUUGAAUUUAUUGUCUUUGUGAAGAAACGAAGAUAGAGUCGUAGGACGAGAAGACCCUAUCGAGCUUUAGUUAAUAAUAAAAGUUAAAAAUAUUUUUUACUAGGCUAAUUAAUCUAAUAAGUUAGUUUUACUUAGUAAGAAAAUAGAUGGUUAAUUAGGUACUUUGGUUGGGGCAAUCGCGGAGAAAAAUAAUCCUCCGUUAAUAAAAUAAAAAAUUACUAUUUUUAAAUUUUAAGAAUUAGAAAAUGAUCCACUGGUGAAAGUGAUCAAAGGAACAAGUUACCGUAGGGAUAACAGCGUAAUUUUUUUGGAGAGUUCAUAUUGAUAAAAAAGUUUGCGACCUCGAUGUUGGAUCGGGACUUCCAGGAGGUGCAGCAGCUUCCAAUGGUUGGUCUGUUCGACCAUAAAGUCUACGUGAUCUGAGUCAGACCG
rnacentral:rRNA from 1 species